rnacentral:lncRNA from 1 species
CAAGUACGAGACUGCAGGAAGGUGAGUGGCAAAAGCAGAUGAGGUAGGGGGCGGCGGUGGGCUACGAGAAGACGAGCGGCGAAGGCGGAGGAGGAAGAGGGCCGCAGGCCUGAGUAGCAAUGGUGGGGCUGCAGAAAAUUGAACGAUAGAACUGGAGGAGGAAGGGGGCGGCAAUCUGAGCGACAGUGGUGUAGCUGUGGGAAGGCUGGUGGUGG